rnacentral:rRNA from 1 species
UGGGGAAUAUUGGGCAAUGGGCGAAAGCCUGACCCAGCCAUGCCGCGUGAGUGAUGAAGGCCUUAGGGUUGUAAAACUCUUUCGCCGGUGAAGAUAAUGACGGUAACCGGUAAAGAAGCCCCGGCUAAUUUCGUGCCGGCAGCCGCGGUAAUACGAAAGGGGCUAGCGUUGUUCGGAAUUACUGGGCGUAAAGCGCGCGUAGGCGGACUAACAAGUUGGGGGUGAAAUGCCGAGGCUCAACCUCGGAACUGCCUCCAAAACAGUUAGUCCAGAGGAUGUGAGAGGAUAGUGGAAUUCCGAGUGUAGAGGUGAAAUUCGUAGAUAUUCGGAAGAACACCAGUGGCGAAGGCGACUGUCUGGCACAUUUCUGACGCUGAGGUGCGAAAGCGUGGGGAGCAAACAGGAUUAGAUACCCGGGUAGUCC